AGUGAACGCUGGCGGUAGGCCUAACACAUGCAAGUCGAACGGCAGCACAGUAAGAGCUUGCUCUUACGGGUGGCGAGUGGCGGACGGGUGAGGAAUACAUCGGAAUCUACUUUUUCGUGGGGGAUAACGUAGGGAAACUUACGCUAAUACCGCAUACGACCUACGGGUGAAAGCAGGGGAUCUUCGGACCUUGCGCGAUUGAAUGAGCCGAUGUCGGAUUAGCUAGUUGGCGGGGUAAAGGCCCACCAAGGCGACGAUCCGUAGCUGGUCUGAGAGGAUGAUCGGCCACACUGGAACUGAGACACGGUCCAGACUCCUACGGGAGGCAGCAGUGGGGAAUAUUGGACAAUGGGCGCAAGCCUGAUCCAGCCAUACCGCGUGGGUGAAGAAGGCCUUCGGGUUGUAAGCCCUUUUGUUGGGAAAGAAAAGCAGCAGGUUAAUACCCCGCUGUUCUGACGGUACCCAAAGAAUAAGCACCGGCUAACUUCGUG
rnacentral:rRNA from 1 species